AGAUUGAACGCUGGCGGCAUGGCUAAAACAUGCAAGUCGAACGCGAAAGUGGAGCUUGCUCCACGAGUAGAGUGNCGAAAGGGCGAGUAAUGCGUUUCUAACGUACCCCAGGGUCAGGGAUAGCUCACCGAAGGGUGAAUUAAUACCUGAUAAUCCCAUCUGCCUCCUGGCAUGAUGGGCAAAGGCUUGCUGCCCUGGGAGCGGGGAACGUGCUAUCAGGUUGUUGGUGAGGUAAAAGCUCACCAAGCCUAAGAUGGCUAGCGGGUGUGAGAGCACGGCCCGCCGCAUCGGGACUGAGACACUGCCCGGACUCCUACGGGAGGCUGCAGUAACGAAUAUUCCGCAAUGCGCGAAAGCGUGACGGAGCAAUGCCGCGUGCAGGAUGAAGCCUCUCGGGGUGUAAACUGCUGUCAGGGGUCAGAAACACAAUGAUCAACCCCAAAGGAAGAGCCGGCUAACUCUGUGCCAGCAGCCGCGGUAAUACAGAGGGCUCGAGCGUUAAUCGGUAUCACUGGGCUUAAAGGGUGCGUAGGCGGGCCUGCAAGUGCUUUGUGAAAUCCCACGGCUCAACCGUGGAAUGGCUUGGCAGACUGCAGGUCUUGAGGUUGGUAGGGGCUGUCGGAACUCUAGGUGUAGCGGUGAAAUGCGUAGAUAUCUAGAGGAACACCAAAGGUGAAGACAGGCAGCUGGGCCAAUCCUGACGCUGAGGCACGAAAGCGUGGGUAGCGAACGGGAUUAGAUACCCCGGUAGUCCACGCCCUAAACGAUGUGUACUAGAUUGCGGAGGUUUUGACACCAUCGUGGUCGAAGCAAAAGUGUAAGUACACCGCCUGGGGAGUACGGUCGCAAGAUUA
rnacentral:rRNA from 1 species